UGCCAGACUCCUACGGGAGGCAGCAGUGGGGAAUAUUGCACAAUGGGGGAAACCCUGAUGCAGCGACGCCGCGUGAGCGAUGAAGUAUUUCGGUAUGUAAAGCUCUAUCAGCAGGGAAGAAGAUGACGGUACCUGACUAAGAAGCCCCGGCUAACUACGUGCCAGCAGCCGCGGUAAUACGUAGGGGGCAAGCGUUAUCCGGAUUUACUGGGUGUAAAGGGAGCGUAGACGGCAUGGCAAGUCAGAUGUGAAAGCCCGGGGCUCAACCCCGGGACUGCAUUUGAAACUGUCAGGCUGGAGUGCAGGAGAGGUAAGUGGAAUUCCUAGUGUAGCGGUGAAAUGCGUAGAUAUUAGGAGGAACACCAGUGGCGAAGGCGGCUUACUGGACUGUAACUGACGUUGAGGCUCGAAAGCGUGGGGAGCAAACAGGAUUAGAUACCCGAGUACC
rnacentral:rRNA from 1 species